rnacentral:rRNA from 1 species
CCUACGGGAGGCAGCAGUGGGGCAUAUUGGGCAAUGGGCGCAAGCCUGACCCAGCAACGCCGCGUGAAGGAAGAAGGCUUUCGGGUUGUAAACUUCUUUUCUCAGGGACGAAGCAAGUGACGGUACCUGAGGAAUAAGCCACGGCUAACUACGUGCCAGCAGUCGCGGUAAUACGUAGGUGGCAAGCGUUAUCCGGAUUUACUGGGGGUAAAGGGCGUGUAGGCGGGACUGCAAGUCAGAUGUGAAAACCACGGGCUCAACCUGUGGCCUGCAUUUGAAACGGUAGUUCUUGAGUACUGGAGAGGCAGACGGAAGUCCUAGUGUAGCGGUGAAAUGCGGAGAUACUAGGAGGAACACCAGGGGCGAAGGCGGUCUGCUGGACAGCAACUGACGCUGAGGCGCGAAAGCGCGGGGAGCAAACAGGAUUAGAUACCCUUGUAGUC